rnacentral:tRNA from 1 species
UAGGGGGUGGCAUAAUGGAAGUGCGGGGGAUUUUGAUUCCUCAGAUGCAGGUUCAAUUCCUGCUCCGCUAA